UAGACCAAUUCUAAUUAUAACUACCAAUAAAAUCAUUGACUACAAAAUUGACCAAGCAAAAAACAUAGAAAAAACCUAAUACUCCUCAACAUCAUCAUCUUCCCCUCACCAAAUUCCCAACCAACUUCCUCAUAAUCCUUCUCAAGAGCAGCCAAAUCUUCCCUAGCUUCAAAAAACCCACCUUCUUCCAUACCGGUACACAAAAACUAUCUUUGUAGAGGUUGGUUUAAGGAAGAAAAAAAAGUAUUACACCACAACCGUGAAAAGUUGGAACAAUCAUAGGAAAGUGAGAAAUUGGAAUUGCAGUAUCCCUAUAAAUUGAAGUUGAUCUCAGCAUUGCUUGGAUAUACACGCAAAAGUACUCAAUUGUUUAUCAUAGAAAUCAAAUAGUCCAUACUUGAAUUGAAAAAGAAUGACAUUCUCUUUGUCAUUUCUAAAAUGUUUUCCAAGUUUCAUCUAUAUCCAAGAUUUUUGAACGAUAAUGGUGUCUGUAACAUGCAUCUUUCCUCAUUAAAAGAAAAGAAAUGCUCUAAAUCCUCAAAGGAAGCAGCUAUUGUGGUUCUCUAGUUGGCCUCAUGUUGCUGCAACAUUCAGUCAGUCAACAAAUUUUCCUUAAAGUUGAGACUUGAAGGUGACAAGAAAUUAAAAAUAACAGUAGAGACUUGAAGUUGGGGUUAUCGGUCCAGACUGAGUUUUAGUUAAGGGGCCGAACCGGGUUUUACUUAAGGGGCCUGACCGGGUUAUAAAUAUUUUUUUUAAAAAAAAACUAAUACUAAAAUUUAUUAAAUUUGAACUUAAAACAUAACUUUUGGUCUUUUUUAUAAAUAAAGUUUCUAGCAUACUAAUUUAAAAUUUAAUAUCUCUAUGAUUUAGGGAUCUAGCUGUCUGUAGCCUGAUAUUUAUCUAUUUCAUUUAUUUUCCAAGAAACAUUCCAUCUCUUUGUUCUCUCUCCUCUUACCAUUACGAAAAUUUUUGCCAUCUUUCAUGCUUCUUCCUAUUAUUUGAGAAUGUUUAUGAAUAUAAAAAAGAUUAAAUAAAUUCUAUUUUAUGUAGCAAAAAAGUAAACUAUAAAAAUUUUAAUAUAUUUAUUACUACUUAAUAGAAGGGAGGAUAAAAAAAAAAAAUUGUCGUCCUCACGGGGUUAAGGUUGGAAUUUCAUUUUUUUGAUUCUUUAGAAGUUGAUACACGUUUGACUCACUGUACUUUGUCCUUGCUCUACCCUUUGGACUACUUUUGAAAGACACUUGUGCUUUUUAUCUUGUCCUUUGAUCUCCAUCCCUUGUUGAUCUUAUCUUUUUACUGAAUAAUAAGUACUUUAGAAAACAAUGAGUCAGUAAAGCGCCACAAUGUUCCAUUUUUCUCAUCAGUUGCAGCUACUUUCAUAUCUAGCCAAGGUCAUGUUCGAAAUAUUCGCAUUUGAAAGAUUUCAAUAUGUUGAAGAGUUGCAAACGAAUUUUGAAGACAUUAUUCUAUAGCAGUGGUUAUAUUAGUUCAAACAAUAUAUGUUCAUUAUUUAAGUUGUGACAUUAAUAUUUAGUACUUCCCUUUGUUUAUUUAGAUUUAAUGGAAUAUAUUUCGUUUUAUGAAUCAAUAGUAAUAUGUUUUUUAGCAUUU